rnacentral:rRNA from 1 species
GACGAACGCUGGCGGCGUGCCUAACACAUGCAAGUCGAGCGAAUGAAGUUCCUUCGGGAAUGGAUUUAGCGGCGGACGGGUGAGUAACACGUGGGCAACCUGCCUCAUAGAGGGGAAUAGCCUCCCGAAAGGGAGAUUAAUACCGCAUAAGAUUGUAGUACCGCAUGAUACAGCAAUUAAAGGAGCAAUCCGCUAUGAGAUGGGCCCGCGGCGCAUUAGCUAGUUGGUGAGGCAAUGGCUCACCAAGGCGACGAUGCGUAGCCGACCUGAGAGGGUGACCGGCCACAUUGGGACUGAGACACGGCCCAGACUCCUACGGGAGGCAGCAGUGGGGAAUAUUGCACAAUGGGGGAAACCCUGAUGCAGCAACGCCGCGUGAGUGAUGACGGCCUUCGGGUUGUAAAGCUCUGUCUUCAGGGACGAUAAUGACGGUACCUGAGGAGGAAGCCACGGCUAACUACGUG